rnacentral:rRNA from 1 species
GAUGAACGCUGGCGGCGUGCUUAACACAUGCAAGUCGAACGGAGAGCUCAUGACAGAGGAUUCGUCCAAUGGAUUGAGUUUCUUAGUGGCGGACGGGUGAGUAACGCGUGAGGAACCUGCCUCGGAGUGGGGAAUAACAGUCCGAAAGGACUGCUAAUACCGCAUAAUGCAGCUGAGUCGCAUGACUCUGGCUGCCAAAGAUUUAUCGCUCUGAGAUGGCCUCGCGUCUGAUUAGCUAGUUGGCGGGUAACGCCCACAAGGCGACGAUCGGUAGGGUUCUGAGAGGAAGGUCCCCCCA